rnacentral:rRNA from 1 species
GACGAAGGGGGCGAGCGUUGUUCGGAAUCACUGGGCUUAAAGUGCAUGUAGGCGGCCUGUCAAGUGUCUUGUGAAAUCCCCCGGCUCAACCGGGGAAUUGCUGGGCAAACUGAUGGGCUUGAGGCAGGUAGGGGCGAGUGGAGCUCUUGGUGGAGCGGUGGAAUGCGUAGAUAUCAAGAGGAACGCAGGAGGUGAAGACGACUCGCUGGGCCUGUCCUGACGCUGAGAUGCGAAAGCCAGGGGAGCAAACGGG